rnacentral:tRNA from 1 species
UGGGAUAUAGCUCAGUUGGUAGAGUGCUUAUUUGCCUCGCAUGCACAAGGCUCUGGGUUCAAUCCCCAGCACCACAA